rnacentral:rRNA from 1 species
AGAUUGAACGCUGGCGGCAGGCCUAACACAUGCAAGUCGAGCGGAUGAAGGGGCUUGCUCCUGGAUUUAGCGGCGGACGGGUGAGUAAUGCCUAGGAAUCUGCCUGGUAGUGGGGGAUAACGUCCGGAAACGGGCGCUAAUACCGCAUACGUCCUACGGGAGAAAGCAGGGGACCUUCGGGCCUUGCGCUAUCAGAUGAGCCUAGGUCGGAUUAGCUUGUUGGUGAGGUAACGGCUCACCAAGGCUGCGAUCCGUAACUGGUCUGAGAGGAUGAUCAGUCACACUGGAACUGAGACACGGUCCAGACUCCUACGGGAGGCAGCAGUGGGGAAUAUUGGACAAUGGGCGAAAGCCUGAUCCAGCCAUGCCGCGUGUGUGAAGAAGGUCUUCGGAUUGUAAAGCACUUUAAGUUGGGAGGAAGGGCGUAAGCUAAUACCUUGCUGUUUUGACGUUACCGACAGAAUAAGCACCGGCUAACUUCGUGCCAGCAGCCGCGGUAAUACGAAGGGUGCAAGCGUUAAUCGGAAUUACUGGGCGUAAAGCGCGCGUAGGUGGUUUGUUAAGUUGGAAGUGAAAGCCCCGGGCUCAACCUGGGAACUGCUUUCAAAACUGGCAAGCUAGAGUAUGGCAGAGGGUGGUGGAAUUUCCUGUGUAGCGGUGAAAUGCGUAGAUAUAGGAAGGAAC